UCCUGUCCUUGUGUUCCAGGAAGGAGCCAUAUUGGUGUUCCUGCCAGGUUGGGACAACAUCAGUGGCCUCAACGACCUCCUCAUGGCUCAGCAGAUGUUCAAAUCAGAUGGGUUUGUGAUCAUUCCUCUGCACUCCCUGAUGCCUACUGUCACCCAGACUUCGGUGUUCAAAGGCCCCCUCCAGGAGUCAGGAAGAUUGUCAUUGCCACCAAUAUCGCUGAGACCGGUAG